GAUGAACGCUGGCGGCGUGCCUAACACAUGCAAGUCGAACGAAGCACCUUACCUGAUUCUUCGGAUGAAAGUUUGGUGACUGAGUGGCGGACGGGUGAGUAACGCGUGGGUAACCUGCCCUGUACAGGGGGAUAACAGCUGGAAACGGCUGCUAAUACCGCAUAAGCGCACGAGGAGACAUCUCCUUGUGUGAAAAACUCCGGUGGUACAGGAUGGGCCCGCGUCUGAUUAGCUGGUUGGCAGGGUAACGGCCUACCAAGGCAACGAUCAGUAGCCGGUCUGAGAGGAUGAACGGCCACAUUGGAACUGAGACACGGUCCAAACUCCUACGGGAAGCAGCAGUGGGGAAUAUUGCACAAUGGGGGAAACCCUGAUGCAGCAACGCCGCGUGAGUGAAGAAGUAUUUCGGUAUGUAAAGCUCUAUCAGCAGGGAAGAUAAUGACGGUACCUGACUAAGAGGCGCCGGCUAAAUACGUG
rnacentral:rRNA from 1 species